rnacentral:rRNA from 1 species
UGUAAGCGUAUACCAAAGUUGUUGCAGUUAAAACGCUCGUAGUCGGAAUUUGGCAGUUCCGGAUGUGUGCACGUCGUGUGCGCACUUCGCGGGGAUUGCUUUUGUGGUCUUGCGUAGGAUGAGGCACUUUUAUUAGUGAACGUCCUCACGCAACCACUUUUUACUGUGAGAAAAUCAGAGUGCUCAAAGCAGGCAUUUGUCGUGAAUGUAUUAGCAUGGAAUAAUAGAAUAGGACUUGGUUCUAUUUUGUUGGUUUGUUGGGACUGAGUAAUGAUUAAGAGGGACAGUUGGGGGCAUUUGUAUUUCGGUGCUAGAGGUGAAAUUCUUAGAUUACCGAAAGACAAACUGCUGCGAAAGCGUCUACCAAGGAUGUUUUCAUUGA